rnacentral:rRNA from 1 species
UACGGAGGGUGCGAGCGUUGUUCGGAAUUACUGGGCGUAAAGCGCGGGCAGGUGGUCCGUUAAGUCUUUUGUGAAACUCCGGGGCUCAACCCCGGACAUGCAGAGGAUACUGGCGGACUGGAGAUCGGUAGAGGCUAACGGAAUUCCUGGUGUAGCGGUGGAAUGCGUAGAUAUCAGGAAGAACACCCGGUGGCGAAGGCGGUUAGCUGGGCCGAGUCUGACACUCGAGUCCGACGAAAGCGUGGGGAGCAAACAGGAUUAGAUACCCCCGUAGUCC